ACCGAUAUGGUGGAAUUGGCAGACACGACAGUUUUAAACACUGUUUUCUUUGAAAGUUAUGAGGGUUCGAGUCCCUCUAUCGGUA
rnacentral:tRNA from 1 species